CAUCCUGUGUCUUUAGAUUUUUAUCCAGGUC
rnacentral:piRNA from 1 species